rnacentral:rRNA from 13 species
UUGGGUCUUCCCUUGGGUUCGUCUGUCUGAGGGUCGGAU